rnacentral:rRNA from 1 species
UGAGGAACAUGACCUUCGGCGGGGGAUAGCCGGCCCAACGGCCGGGUAAUACCGCGUACGACCACAUGGGGACAUCCCUGAGUGGUGAAAGCAGCAAUGCGCCGAUGGAGUGCCUCGCGGCCUAUCAGCUAGUUGGUGAGGUAACGGCUCACCAAGGCAACGACGGGUAGCUGGUCUGAGAGGAUGGCCAGCCACAUUGGGACUGAGACACGGCCCAGACCUCUACGGGAG